UACAGAGGGUGCAAGCGUUAAUCGGAGUUACUGGGCGUAAAGGGCGCGUAGGCGGACUUUUAAGUCGGGUGUGAAAUCCCUGGGCUCAACCUAGGAAUUGCACUCGAUACUGGAAGUCUAGAGUAUGGUAGAGGAAAGUGGAAUUCCCGGUGUAGUAGUAAAAUACGUAGAUAUCGGGAGGAACACCAGUGGCGAAGGCGGCUUUCUGGCCCAAUACUGACGCUGAGGCGCGAAAGCGUGGGGAGCAAACAGG
rnacentral:rRNA from 1 species